AAAGAAGUAGAACGGGAGAAGUACUCAGGUUACCAACACAAUUCACAGGGGAUACCAUACCCCAGGAGAGUCCAGUAUAAGACAUCUUUGAGCACAGAAUU